GACGAACGCUGGCGGCGUGCUUAACACAUGCAAGUCGAACGGUGAAGCUCCAGCUUGCUGGAGUGGAUCAGUGGCGAACGGGUGAGUAACACGUAAGCAACCUGCCCCUGACUCUGGAAUAAGCGCUGGAAACGGCGUCUAAUACUGGAUACGAGAAGGGCCCGCAUGGGCACUUUCUGGAAAGUUUUUCGGUUGGGGAUGGGCUCGCGGCCUAUCAGCUUGUUGGUGAGGUAAUGGCUCACCAAGGCGACGACGGGUAGCCGGCCUGGGAGGGCGACCGGCCACACUGGGACUGAGACACGGCCAAGACUCCUACGGGAGGCAGCGGUGGGAAAUAUUCCACAAUGGGCGAAAGCCGGAUGCAGCGACGCCGCGUGGGGGAUGACGGCCUUCGGGUUGUAACCCUCUUUCAGCAGGGAAGAAGCGAAAGUGACGGUACCUGCAGAAGAAGCACCGGCUAACUACGUG
rnacentral:rRNA from 1 species